ensembl:lncRNA
CUCUGAUUUUCACCUGGGCCUUCCGGGAUCUAAUUUCUACCAGGAAUAGUCGAAAGCCCUCAGGAUUUGCAAAGUGACAGGGUAGGUGAAUGCCAGCAUGUUGCUGCCAGCAGACUUGAGGUGGAGGAGGAUCGCACAGGACUGAUAAAUCUCACCUGCUGCUUAAGCCAAAGGUUCCCUUUCAUUGGCCUCCAACAAAGACAGAGGCAGUUAUGGCUCCUAUUGCUCUCCUGCUGUAUUAGAGGGACAGAAAUGCAAGGAAAAAUAACGUUGCUCUGGGACCACAGAGGAGGAAACACAGCCCUCACAGUGUUUGCUGCAGAGCUCUCUCUGAAAUAAAGGUGCUUUUGACACAAGUGGGUUGGGAUUCAGAUCUUCCAGCCUCUUCCAUUCCCUAAUUCACAUUCAAGCAAAUGCUUUGUUGUUUAGUAAAGUAAAGGUCACAACGUAAUCACCUUCUGUUAACACUGUUGGUUUAUGAGAUAACGAGAGCUUGAUGUCCACGCUCAGUUGAUCACUGAAAACGUUCCUAGAAUGUGUAUUCUACUUCAUUGUUAUCAUUAGCAUCAGGAGCAUGUUACUUGGUGACUCCAGAUUCAGCUGCCUCCACAGCUUACAACUCAGGCUUUACCAUUGGGACAGAAGGGACUGCAGCUACACCUGCUAAUCCUAUUUUAUUUGCUUGUAAACACCUGUGUUUGUUUCUUACCCACAUGAGAGGUAGGUAAGAGAGACC